GGGACAACAUUUGGAAACGAAUGCUAAUACCGCAUAACAACUUUAAACACAAGUUUUAAGUUUGAAAGAUGCAAUUGCAUCACUCAAAGAUGAUCCCGCGUUGUAUUAGCUAGUUGGUGAGGUAAAGGCUCACCAAGGCGAUGAUACAUAGCCGACCUGAGAGGGUGAUCGGCCACAUUGGGACUGAGACACGGCCCAAACUCCUACGGGAGGCAGCAGUAGGGAAUCUUCGGCAAUGGACGAAAGUCUGACCGAGCAACGCCGCGUGAGUGAAGAAGGUUUUCGGAUCGUAAAACUCUGUUGGUAGAGAAGAACGUUGGUGAGAGUGGGAAGCUCAUCAAGUGACGGUAACUACCCAGAAAGGGACGGCUAACUACGUGCCAGCAGCCGCGGUAAUACGUAGGUCCCGAGCGUUGUCCGGAUUUAUUGGGCGUAAAGCGAGCGCAGGUGGUUUAUUAAGUCUGGUGUAAAAGGCAGUGGCUCAACCAUUGUAUGCAUUGGAAACUGGUAGACUUGAGUGCAGGAGAGGAGAGUGGAAUUCCAUGUGUAGCGGUGAAAUGCGUAGAUAUAUGGAGGAACACCGGUGGCGAGAGCGGCUCUCUGGCCUGUAACUGACACUGAGGCUCGUAAGCGUGGGGAGCAAACAGGAUUAGAUACCCUGGUAGUCCACGCCGUAAACGAUGAGUGCUAGAUGUAGGGAGCUAUAAGUUCUCUGUAUCGCAGCUAACGCAAUA
rnacentral:rRNA from 1 species